rnacentral:rRNA from 1 species
GUCAACCGCCAUAUCAUCCUGAAAGCAUCCCAUCUCAUCUGAUCUUGGAAGCUAAGCAGCAGGGUCCAAAGUGUAAUUCGAUGUAAUUUUGUUAGGCAAUGCCAGAGUUUCUC